GGGCCUAUAGCUCAGCUGGCAGAGCAUCGGACUUUUAAUCCGCGGGUCGCGGGUUCGAUCCCCGCUGGGCCCA
rnacentral:tRNA from 1 species